rnacentral:lncRNA from 7 species
GGCCGGAGGACGCGCGCCCGCGCCGCCAGGGACCGGGAGAGAGGGCGGAGCCGCGCCGCUAUGUAAGGGCGGACUGACGGGUGGAGCAGGAGGGCCGCGUGCCCACGCCAAAGCGGAAGGGAGAGGAGGGUCGCCGCCGCCGAUAGGAAAGCUGCUGCCGCCGCCGCCGCCACCACCAAAGGCAUGUAAGUCCAGCCACCGAGAAAAACAAAUCAAGCAAUGGUCUGCCAAUUCGUAGCUUAAAUUAUGUGUUUAUAAUAGAACUGAAUUUGUUAUAGCUUAAGAUGUACUGUUUUCUUCUUUCUAUAGUAUAUAGCAGUUGCACCUUUGAAGGACUGAGGAACAUGGCAGCAGAAUUUCUGAAACUCUGCUGCCUCUGCUUCACAAAACGCCCAAAAGGACGAUUUAAACUUGUCAGCGUCAUCAGGUGAUGAACACACCUUCGGCAACCGCUAAGACGCGUUCAAGGACCAUAGUUGCAUAGUAUUUUUCAAAUGUCGACUUGUAUUUGCCUGUUGCUAGCCUUAAUGUAACUGUGCAAUGCGUAGUGAAAUUUUAUACGUCAAAAUCUGAUGGACAAAGAAAAUGAUAGAUUGAUUUGCAAUGUUACCGGGGUGUAAUUUUGGUCUAGCUUACGAGUCAGUCGAGCUGACUUAAGUUGUCUAACGAACCGAAUUGAGCAAGUAUUCUAACUCUUAUUGU